GUAGGGAAUCUUCCACAAUGGGCGCAAGCCUGAUGGAGCAACACCGCGUGAGUGAAGAAGGGUUUCGGCUCGUAAAGCUCUGUUGUUAGAGAAGAACGUGCGUGAGAGCAACUGUUCACGCAGUGACGGUAUCUAACCAGAAAGUCACGGCUAACUACGUGCCAGCAGCCGCGGUAAUACGUAGGUGGCAAGCGUUAUCCGGAUUUAUUGGGCGUAAAGCGAGCGCAGGCGGUUUGAUAAGUCUGAUGUGAAAGCCUUUGGCUUAACCAAAGAAGUGCAUCGGAAACUGUCAGACUUGAGUGCAGAAGAGGACAGUGGAACUCCAUGUGUAGCGGUGGAAUGCGUAGAUAUAUGGAAGAACACCAGUGGCGAAGGCGGCUGUCUGGUCUGCAACUGACGCUGAGGCUCGAAAGCAUGGGUAGCGAACAGGAUUAGAAACCCGUGUAGUCC
rnacentral:rRNA from 1 species